rnacentral:rRNA from 1 species
UUGUGCCAAGCAGCCGCGGUAAUUCCAGCUCCAAUAGCGUAUAUUUAAGUUGUUGCAGUUAAAAAGCUCGUAGUUGGAUUUUGGUUAAGAGGGCGCGGUCGGCCGUUUGGUCUGUACUGCGUUGUCUUGACUUCCUGAUGAGGACAUGCUCUUGGUUAACGCUGAGACAUGGAGUCAUCGUGGUUACUUUGAAAAAAUUAGAGUGUUCAAAGCGGGCUUACGCUUGAAUAUAUUAGCAUGGAAUAACACUAUAGGACUCCUGUCCUAUCUCGUUGGUCUCGGGAUGGGAGUAAUGAUUAAGAGGAACAGUUGGGGGCAUUCGUAUUUCAUUGUCAGAGGUGAAAUUCUUGGAUUUAUGAAAGACGAACUUCUGCGAAAGCAUUUGCCAAGGAUGUUUUCAUUAAUCAAGAACGAAAGUUGGGGGCUCGAAGAUGAUUAGAUACCAUCCUAGUCUCAACCAUAAACGAUGCCGACUAGGGAUUGGUGGAUGUUAAUUGAUGACUUCACCAGCACCUUAUGAGAAAUCAAAGUUUUUGGGUUCCGGGGGGAGUAUGGUCGCAAGGCUGAAACUUAAAGGAAUUGACGGAAGGGCACCACCAGGCGUGGAGCCUGCGGCUUAAUUUGACUCAACACGGGAAAUCUCACCAGGCCCGGACACUGGAAGGAUUGACAGAUUGAGAGCUCUUUCUCGAUUCGGUGGGUGGUGGUGCAUGGCCGUUCUUAGUUGGUGGAGUGAUUUGUCUGGUUAAUUCCGAUAACGAACGAGACUCUGUCCUGCUAAAUAGUUGGGUCGUCCUUCGUGCGAUCCAAGUUCUUCUUAGAGGGACUGGCUGCGUCUAGCAGCACGAGAUUGAGCAAUAACAGGUCUGUG